rnacentral:rRNA from 1 species
CACAAGCGGUGGAUGAUGUGGAUUAAUUCGAUGCAACGCGAAGAACCUUACUACCCUUGACAUGUCCGGAACUUGCCAGAGAUGGCUUGGUGCCCGAAAGGGAAUCGGAACACAGGUGCUGCAUGGCUGUCGUCAGCUCGUGUCGUGAGAUGUUGGGUUAAGUCCCGCAACGAGCGCAACCCUUAUCAUUAGUUGCUACGCAAGGGCACUCUAAUGAGACUGCCGGUGACAAACCGGAGGAAGGUGGGGAUGACGUCAAGUCCUCAUGGCCCUUAUGGGUAGGGCUUCACACGUCAUACAAUGGUCGGUACAGAGGGUUGCCAAGCCGCGAGGCGGAGCCAAUCCCACAAAGCCGAUCGUAGUCCGGAUUGUUCUCUGCAACUCGAGAGCAUGAAGUCGGAAUCGCUAGUAAUCGCAGGUCAGCAUACUGCGGUGAAUACGUUCCCGGGUCUU